rnacentral:precursor_RNA from 1 species
UGGAAGACUAGUGAUUUUGUUGUUUUGAUUUGGGUAACAAGAAAUCACUAAUCUCCCU